rnacentral:rRNA from 1 species
UACGUAGGGCGCAAGCGUUGUCCGGAAUUAUUGGGCGUAAAGAGCUCGUAGGCGGCUUGUCACGUCGGGUGUGAAAGCCCGGGGCUUAACCCCGGGUCUGCAUUCGAUACGGGCUAGCUAGAGUGUGGUAGGGGAGAUCGGAAUUCCUGGUGUAGCGGUGAAAUGCGCAGAUAUCAGGAGGAACACCGGUAGCGAAGGCGGAUCUCUGGGCCAUUACUGACGCUGAGGAGCGAAAGCGUGGGGAGCGAACAGG